rnacentral:ncRNA from 1 species
AAGAAUGCAACCGGGUGUUCAAUCUUAUUCCUGCCGUGUGAGGCUCUUGACGCUUGACACACAUCCAUCUUGCUUUUAAUGGUCAAACCUGGCAAUGCGUGUCUACCCAGCGUCUCGAGUCCGCACGGCGAGAUGAUUGAUCUGAGAAAUACCGGUGAACUUGAUCUGGAUAAUACCAGCGAAAGGAUUUGCUUCUUGAAGACUC